GUCAGGGGUAGGGAUAGGGGUAGGGUUAGGUUAGGGUUAGGAGUAGGGGUAGGGUUAGGGUUAGUGGUUGGAGUAGGGUAAGGGGUAGGGUUAGGGUAGUGGUACCCUACCCCUACUCCUAACCCUAACCUAACCCUACCCCUAUCCCUACCCCUGACCCU